rnacentral:rRNA from 1 species
UACGAAGGGGGCUAGCGUUGUUCGGAUUUACUGGGCGUAAAGCGCACGUAGGCGGAUCGUUAAGUCGGGGGUGAAAUCCUGGAGCUCAACUCCAGAACUGCCUUCGAUACUGGCGAUCUUGAGUCCGGAAGAGGUGAGUGGAACUCCUAGUGUAGAGGUGGAAUUCGUAGAUAUCGGGAGGAACACCGGUGGCGAAGGCGGCGACCUGGGUUGAUACUGACGCUGAGGCGCGAAAGCGUGGGGAGCAAACAGG